CUGAUUACCAGACACCAGCUUGUUGGCAGAAAAGGAAAGAUCACAGCCUGCAGACAAAAAAAGAAUGUUAAGUUAAUCAGAUCAUUCAUAACAGGGUCCUAAGAAACCAAAAUCAAAUCUGGAUGGGAUACUAAGGAAUUCCAAAGAAAACCCAGAAAAUCUACUAAAAUCAGGUCAACAAACCAAGCAAGAAAAGCCACUUUUUUUGUUUACCGUCUUCAUGACUGAGACAAAGAACCUAAGUCAUCCAAGACCACCAGCAGAGUCGACAGGGUAGGUGGCACAUGAAGAGUCAUCUUUGGAAAACUAAACAGUAAAUAGAGAGGUAUGGGGUAGUCUUCCAAAAAUCGUGUUUUGUUACUAAUGCCAGUUUCCUCUUUUAUGAGCAUGACCAGAAUCAACACACCAUCAGAUGUUUCGUUAGUCUUGCUGCAGCAGCAAAGAGGAUUUUGCUUUCUGUGAAGAUAUAUAUUUGUGUUUGAAUUUUCUGACUUUUUAGUUGAUGAUGAAAAUCUUUUGGGAGUGCUGUAUGAAAUGCAAAACACGUUUCAAAACAGCUUGGUGUCUGUCAAGUUCAAAUGUGCUGGCAUCUGCACUUGCAGCAACACAUACAGCUCCCAAAAAGAAUCUGCUUUGAAAAUUAUUAUCAUGUUUCCUCAAAUAAAAUUAAACAUAUGGCUGGUUAGAAGCCGCCACAAGAUUUUCCACAGGUUAUGUUAUAUCCAUUACAGAAAGAGCGCAAAAUCAUUUUUUUUUUUUUUUUUAAAAAAGGACUGAAAACCCACCCAUUAAGACGUGAACUUCGAAAGCCUGACAUUCAAAUAUAUUUGAAAGUAACUUCUAGGGUAUUCAUUUUCUUUCUCCUUCUACCCCUUUGCAAUGUGAUGAAUUCUCUUGUAUUCUCCAUGUUAGAUGAUAUAGCAGCACUUGUACAUUCAUAGUGCCUGUAGUAGUGCUUGAAGGGCCUCCUUACAUUUGCAUUUUAAUCUAUAAAAUGUUUUUUCAAAAACUGCCUCAUGUGUGGUUUGGAAAGAUUCAGUCAAUGUUAUUUUUUCCACUGUGGGCAUAUUUUCAAUUUUUCUUUUAUAUAACCGUGUAUUAAUUGUUUAAAUGAUUGAGACCAUACUCUGAUCUAUGCUGUUUAAAAACAUUUACUUGACUACCUCCUUCUUUGAAAUUUCACUUUUUUUUUUUUUUUUACAAAGUGCAUUAUUACCGCUUUUACCUCUGAAUAGUUUUACUCUUUAGUUGUAAACCUCUCCUUCAGAUUCACUGUGUUAUCACUGAUACCUAAUAAAAUUUAUCCGGAAAAUGGAACAGGUGUGCAAAGACAGACGCCAGUGAGCAAGCAAGUAUAUCCUCAGUCUGGAAACAUCAGCAACCAGAACGGUCAGGCAUGUUUUAGUCUUUUACAUGAAGAUAAAUAACUAUUUUUUACUCUUUCUGUAGCGUAUGAGUUAGUUAUAAAAAUACAAAAUGAAACAAGAAGUCCAAGUAUCAUUUUUAAUCCAAUAAAAUUGUAAUAGUUUCCAACAGUUAGAAUUUUCAAGGAAGGUGUAAGUAUUCUGCUGCAUUCAUGUGCUAAGGAAAUUUAUGGAGUUCCUACUUGUGAGGUCUCACCUUCUCACUUUAUUGUGCUCACAUAAAUUUCCAGUUGGGUUUUGGCAGGAAUCAAGGGAUGUUGUUAAUUUACUAUUUGGUCCACACAACAAGAAAUUAAAGCGAAGCUCCAUUUUUUUUUUUGGGUGAAAAAAACCAACUAGACAAAUUAAGCACACACUCCAUCACUCCAAAUAAAGUUAAACAAAAAAUGUCACUUUAGCCUGGAGAGGUUAUUCCUAUUUUAUUUGAUGUUAUUCAAUGAGGUUAGAGGUUAAUUUUGUGUCACAACUCAGUUAAUUUGUGUAGCACAGUUUUCUCUGAAUUUUCCCACUGGGAGCUACCACUUCAAAGGUUGUUCAUAUUUAAUUUCCCACCGGGAAACUCACAUUUACAUUCUGAUCACACCAUGUGAAUUCUACAUUACUCCAAAUGUCUUAUGAUAUUUAUUCCAACCAAAAAAAAAAAAGAGGCAAAAAGACUAACCAGCAAUUUUGUGUGAUUUGGUACUGUAGAGCUCAGGACAAGAAAAAGUGAGCUUUAAAGUUUAUAGAGUUAUUUGGAAAACAAAUAAACAAUUUCCUUUCUUGUGAUGUUAUUUUAAGACCUGAUGAACGCCUAUUGAGCACACCCACAACAAUGACCCAGACAAACUUUUCUGCCAGACAAAACUACUUCCAUCUUUCUAGGGACAGAUCCGACAAUGAAAACCCAGACAGCACUCUAUUCGCAGCAAGUCGCAGUUACCUGUGGCCUGUCACAAGCUAAACAAGUUUAUGCUGAUGCAAAGCAGAGCUUAGGAAGACCAGCAAACGAGACACAAUGAGACAAAAGUUUACCACACAAAUGGACUGAUUCAUGCCACGCCAGCCUUCCCAUCCCCCUUCUGUCUCAGGCUUUUCAGUUCUGCAUUCGUCAGACUCAAUGGGGCUUUCAGAGUUAAGAGACCAGAGGGAAUUAUGAAGGGGUGCACCUCCCCCUUUCAGAUGCCCAAUAUCACGAUAAAAAGAAAGCAAACUUAGCAGAACUCUGCACCCAGUGCCCACCGUCAACCAGAGUCAAUUACAUAUUUGGUCAAACAUUCUUCUGACUACUGGUUUCACUUUAAUUGGACAAUUUCAACUCACAUGUCAUGAACAGAGAUUAUACAGAGUGCACUUCUAUUAUUUUGAUCUUGGCCUAUACGUAAAAUAAUAUAUUUGAUUCGCAAGGUUAUACAUCCUGUUAUGUUAAAUACAAAUAAAAUCAAUUUCAUGCAGUGGUACAUCCAAUUUAUCUUCUUUUGAUGAUGCAGCAGUACAGGGUGGUCCAGAUGUAAUUAUGCAAUUUUCAUUACGCUAUAACUUAUUAAGUUUAUUA